rnacentral:misc_RNA from 1 species
AAAUUUUCCGUUUUAUGAGAUUAUGCCGGAGAAGGUUUUCUGGUUUGCCCCGGAGGGCUUGUAGCUCAGUUGGUUAGAGCGCGCGCUUGAUAAGCGUGAGGUCGGAGGUUCAAGUCCUCCCAGGCCCACCAUCUUUAUAAGUGCUUAUAAUGGCACUUAUGAAAAGUUUGUUCCGCUUUUCACUUUUUCUUAAAGCAGUUCAAACUCUAAGGGUUUUAAUCCUUCUUUGUUUUAAGGGGCCGUAGCUCAGCUGGGAGAGCACCUGCUUUGCAAGCAGGGGGUCGUCGGUUC